CAGUUUAAACACUACAAUCCCUUCACAGGACCUGUGUCUGAGAGCCAGAUGCCCACUGUUGUGGAACCUGAAAAUGGAGUUAUGCUGAAAUUCUUCUCUCCUCCCCCUCUUUAGAAGCCACCUGAGAGGUAUCUCCACACUGAUUCUAGCCACUCCAGGUCAAGCCUUGGAGACCUGGGGCAGGGGAGAAUUGAAGAUGAGAAGUCCUGAAAGGCAAAAUUCCUUCAAGGCACACCUGCACCAGUGCUUUCCAGGGAGCAUGGUGUGCCCUCCUGAGCCCACUUCUUUCAAGCCCUUGCGACUGCUGGCAAAGUGCUCUGCUCAGUGACUAAUGACGGUGUAUUUUGAUUAUCUAGUGUUGGAUUUUAGUGUGUCUCUUGCUCAGUUCAUAAGUAAUAGUUGAUGGCCUUGAUUUUCAGUCUUUCUACUCAAACUUCUUAGAUUGGUACCCAAAAUACAUACUCUGAAUGGCUUCCUCCACAAAGCUCGUGGUCAUUGUCUUCCAUUCUUUAUGCUCACUGGAGUCAUGAUCUCAGUUUAUCAUUCCUAUGACUCACUAUUUCUCUUCAAUAAUGGCUGUCUACAUUAGUUAGAGUCCUCUACAGGACAGAAGGAAUACAUUUUCCAAAGGGAAUCUGUCAGAAUUUUUUUCCCACACUACAGGAUGGGUAGUCCAACAAUGGCUGUCUGCCAACUGGAAAGGCUGAGAAUCCAGUGACUGUUUAGGCUAGGAGGCUGGAUGCAGUCCCAGUCUGGUAUUGAAGGCCUGGAAGAUUCCUGAAGAACCAUUGCACUCUGAUUCACAUUAAAGCUUUGUUCUGAUGUCUGCAAUGAAUGGUAGAAGCAGCAGUAGCAACAGAGGACAUGCAUGGGCUAUUGGGAAACAAAGGUGGUAUGUUAGUUAGGCUUUUCUAUUGUUGUGAAGAGACAACAUGAAGUAGCCUCUCCAUUAGACCUCCAUUCAGGGACACCCUUGACACAUGACUGGCCAUAGGGGCUUUCUAUAGGCACAGAGGGAAAUUCCAUAGUCUGUUUGCUCUAUCCUUAACUCUUAAGCCAAAACUGUAUGAUCAAAGCUGCUAAUUCUGCUGCUUACUAAGGCUGGAACCUGACCCCCUCAUUCAAUUACAUCUUCACCAACCUUUUGUCCUUCACUGCCUAAGCUUGUCUAUCCUGAAACUGGAUCUCUAGAACAGGCUGGCCUCAAACUCAGAGGUCUGUUAGCCUCUGUCUUCCUGAUGUUUGGAAUAAAGGAGUGCACCACACGUCCA
rnacentral:lncRNA from 1 species